CCUACGGGAGGCAGCAGUGAGGAAUAUUGCACAAUGGGGGAAACCCUGAUGCAGCGACGCCGCGUGAGUGAAGAAGGACUUAGGUAUGUAAAGCUCUAUCAGCAGGGGAGAAAAUGACGGUACCUGACGAAGAAGCCCCGGCUAACUACGUGCCAGCAGCCGCGGUAAUACGUAGGGAGCAAGCGUUAUCCGGAUUUACUGGGUGUAAAGGGAGCGUAGACGGCGCGGCAAGUCUGAAGUGAAAGGCAGGGGCUGAACCCUGGAACUGCAUUGGAAACUGCCAUGCUAGAGUGCUGGAGAGGUAAGUGGAAUUCCUGGUGUAGCGGUGAAAUGCGUAGAUAUCAGGAGGAACACCAGUGGCGAAGGCGGCUUACUGGACAGUAACUGACGUUGAGGCUCGAAAGCGUGGGGAGCAAACAGGAUUAGAUACCCGGGUAGUC
rnacentral:rRNA from 1 species